rnacentral:rRNA from 1 species
ACGAACCGUACAAACGUUACUCGGAAUUACUGGGCUUAAAGGGUGCGUAGGCUGCGCGGAAAGUUGGGUGUGAAAUCCCUCGGCUCAACCGGGGAAUUGCAUCCAAAACUACCGUGCUAGAGGGAGAUAGAGGUGAGCGGAACUCAAGGUGGAGCGGUGAAAUGCGUUGAUAUCUUGAGGAACACCGGUGGCGAAGGCGGCUCACUGGAUCUCUUCUGACGCUGAGGCACGAAAGCCAAGGUAGCAAACGGG